AUUGAACGCUGGCGGCAGGCCUAACACAUGCAAGUCGAACGGUAACAGGAAGAAGCUUGCCUCUUUGCUGACGAGUGGCGGACGGGUGAGUAAUGUCUGGGAAACUGCCUGAUGGAGGGGGAUAACUACUGGAAACGGUAGCUAAUACCGCAUAACGUCGCAAGACCAAAGAGGGGGACCUUCGGGCCUCUUGCCAUCGGAUGUGCCCAGAUGGGAUUAGCUAGUAGGUGGGGUAACGGCUCACCUAGGCGACGAUCCCUAGCUGGUCCGAGAGGAUGACCAGCCACACUGGAACUGAGACACGGUCCAGACUCCUACGGGAGGCAGCAGUGGGGAAUAUUGCACAAUGGGCGCAAGCCUGAUGCAGCCAUGCCGCGUGUAUGAAGAAGGCCUUCGGGUUGUAAAGUACUUUCAGCGGGGAGGAAGGGAGUAAAGUUAAUACCUUUGCUCAUUGACGUUACCCGCAGAAGAAGCACCGGCUAACUCCGUG
rnacentral:rRNA from 1 species